CACUAAAUUAUAUUGAAAUUUGAAAUAUAUUUUAUUUAUUUAUAUUUUUUUUCCCAAAAAAAAGAAUUUUCUUUUAUUAUAUUUUCCAUUUUAUCUACCAAAACCAAAGUGAGAAGUUUUCACACAGUCACUUUAUUCAUUGUUUGGCCAUAAAAAGAAUCUUUCUUUUUCAUUCAUCAACUAGGUUAAGUUGAUAAGCUCUUUCUCUUUUUCUUUCUUUCCUUUAAUGCCUUUGGUGGCCUUGAAUUUACAGCCACAACAGCACCAAAAAGGACAGCUCCAGAGAAAAGCAAAGCAAUGGCUGAAACUAGACAUCUGUACUGGUCAAUCCUCGUGCCUUCUGCUUCUUGUAAAUGAGCUUGGAUUUGUAGCCUAGAUUGCCACUGGUAGGUUCUCUCAUCAACUAUUCUUUCUUUCUUCGCCUCUUAAUUUCUUCACCUAGGGUUCUUUGCAAGGUCUUUUUCUGUUACUGUUAGUGUUGGUACAGAUUCUUUUUUUAUUUUUUUAAAAAUCGUUUUAAGCAUAUGUUCAGAUUCUUAGCUCUUUCAGGAUUUACCCUUAUCACUGCUGAGAGUUUUCAAUAUAUUUCCAUUUACAGAAACAUUCUCCAGCAUGGGUGUACUUGCUAAUUUCCUCUUUAUCUUCAAUUUCUUUCAUGUUUUUUCCCCUUUAAUUACAGUAUUAGAAGAAAGAAAAAAAAUUCUUUUCCUCUUCUGCAAUUUCCAUUUACAGGACCAAAGUAUUUUUGAGCAAUGAGAGACCAUUGUAUGUACUGGGCUAAACUGCGAAUCUUUUUCUUGUGAGUGUUUCUACUUCCUUGAUUUGGUGGACGAUUGUCAUCCCAUUGAAAUUAUUCUGAAUUUAUUUGUUGUGAUUUUCUUUGUUUUCUUUACGAUACUGUUGUCUCACCCUUUUUUAAUCUAGUAUGCAAGUUUCUCCCCUUUGUUUCCUAGUUUAGUAGAACUCAGGGCAUGAAUGCACAGCUGAGACAAGUGGCAAGUGGGAUACUUGAAAAUUACUCUACUAAGACACAAGUUUGUCAAAUUGAUACAGCAAAUUGCAAAACUGUCACCAUGUUCAAAAAUGUGAUUAUGCACAUCUAUUUUGUGCAACAACUGAUCUGUUAUUUAUUGUGAUUACUUCUUAUGUUGGCUCGGUGUCUAAAUGCUUUCUAGUGCUGUUGCGUGAUGGAUUCGUGCAUAGUUGUUGAUGGUUUGCCCCUUUCUUCACUUGGUGAAAUCUUGAUUCUUAUUGUUCUCUUCCCGGCCGUUCCCCCACCAAAAAUUAGUGUCCCAACCUUUUCAGGGGUUUUGGAUAGUUCCACUGGGCUGUACAAGUUACUUGGAACUCGUUUGGCAUUGUUAUUUGAAUUGGUGUUAAAGCUUGGUUUUGAGUUAAAUAUGGCAUGUUAGCAACCUUUAAAGGGUGCCUUUCGUAAACCGAACGACCUUUGACCUGUUCCCUCUUAACUCACAUUUCCCUUCCUACCUUUCUCUUCCUCAUCGGUGUCACUCUCUGGUCACCUUUUGCCACAACUUAAAAACGUCACCUCUACUCCCUCCUCCUCCUCCUCCUCUUGAAUCCAAUAUCCUUUGAAAUAACACACUUUGAUCCCAAACACACCAGCACCUAUUGCUGGAAGUGUUGAAUUUAACAGCGUCGAUUACAUGGGCCAAGUUGGUCGAGCCACUUAUAUGUUGAGAAGGUGCCCAUCAGGAAUUCCAAAAUCAAACAUCUCUCCGAUUUCACUAAUUAUUUCUCUUUCUUCAUUGUCAUCCAAGGUCGUAACCAGUAUGGCUCUGGGCUCGCUUUCUUCCUUGUUCCUGCUGGAUCUCACAUUCCACUAAAUUCUGGAGAAGUAGGUUUUAUGGGCCUAAACAACUCCAACAUUUAUUCCUUCCUUAUUUUCUGGAUAAGGAAGAAGUAGGGUGAACAGACAACAGAGAAAAUGAACUUAACAUCAAUGAACGAUGAGAUUGAAAGAGUAGCAGGUCCAAGAAGAUAAUUCUUACCAGGAUAUUGUUUCAUCUACCAAAAACUUUUCGAGUUAAAGGAAGUUGGGUCAGGGAGGAUUUGGAUCUGUUUACAAGGGAUACCAUACCCCUUCGGGAAUUGCAUGAAGAAAAUAUCAAAGCGUUCAAAUAAAGAGGAGUAUGUGACAGAGGUGAACCCUAACCCCUACAUUAGAGAAAGAUGGGUGGCUAAAUUUGGACAAGGAAAAUUAAGCUAAAUUUGGAGCGGACUGAGAAGGGGGAGAGAAGGCUAGUUGGUUUAGUUGGAAUAGGAAAAGACAUUGAAGGCAGUAUGAAAUAAGAAUGUAAUUUUGUGGCUGUUCAAGGCUAAUAAGCGUUUAACCCAAAAGAAUUUCAUGUCUUCUUUUCUUAUGGAUGCUUGCUACACUUACAUCUAUAACACAUGGAAAGGAAGGAACAGCAAAUUGCAUCAAGAGAGUUGUCUAACUAAUAAGUAAUCAAAAUCGAGUUAACUAAUUUUAUCUAGUCUGACUUUGUUGAAUAACUACAGGUAUAACACUUGAUCUGAAGUAGAGCUAAGUUCUUGUUUCCUUUUACCUAAUGACAAUAUAACACAUGUAAAUGUUGAUUUAUUGUUUAAUUUUCAUUAUUAUUUAAAAUUUUUCUA